UUUCCUGAGAAACAAAAAAAAACACACAAAAAUAUGUAAAACUGAAAAUCGACAACAGGCUCGGUGUCUCGCCGAUUGAAUCCCAAUUCGAUUCCGUUCUACAUGACUUCCUAUUCAAGGAUUAUAAUCGGUUCCGAAGAACAUGUUCAAAGCUGAAUCAAUAGCCACUUGUGGUUUGACAGAGAAAGAACUUCGGGAAAUAAUAUGAAAGCUUGUUGAAGGGUUUGGCAAUGAUAAAGACAAUAUACUAUCAAAACCCGUGAAGUUUGCAGCUGGGUAUCAGCGUAUAGGUGUGGAGGACAUGCACAAAAGGAAAAAUUCAGAAAAAAGCUCCUGAGAUUAUAGAUCAAUGUAUGUUGAUGGACCACAUCAAAUGCUUUGAAACUGUGGCCGUUGGAGUGAAAGACAUUGUACCAUAUUCAGUCGCCUUCAGUUGUGGAUCUAGAAUAUCCAGAGGUAGUGUAUAUACAGAGAAAGCAAAGGAUACGGCCAUUGG